UCUUUCUAACAAACUUUUAACCACCUACAACAACUUCAAAUGACUAUAUUGCAAUGCUUCAAACAUGGCUGCUUUCUUCUUUCUCAAUACUCCCCCUCAAGCUGAUGGUUGAAACUCACAUCUAACACAUCAAGCUUGGAUAAUAAGAAGUCAUGUUGUCUAGUGCCAAGCCCCUUUGUCAAUAUAUCAGCCAACUGCAUGGUAGAACAUAUAAAUUGAGGAUCUAUAAAAUCAGACUUCACUUUGUCCCUAAUAAAGUGACAAUCAAUUAUACAGGGUUCCCUGCAAUUUGUAUAGCUGACUUACUAUCUGAAAGGAAGUUUAAUCGGAGUUGAGAUGGAUACAUUUAACUCCUGUAACAACCCUGAACCACUGCUGCCAUGCUCUUAUACUCAGCUUCGGCAGAGCUUCUGCUCACAGUUUGUUGUUUCUUUGGACUGCCAAGAGAUCAAGGAUUCUCCCAACUUCAUCACAUAACCAGUCACAAACCUCUUGGUGUAAGGACAAGAAGCCCAGUUAGAGUCACAAUACCAGUCAAUUCUGUAACUUCAUCUUGCUUCAGAAAAACACCAAGACCAGGAGACUUCUUAAUGUAUCUCACAAUUCUAAGAGUUGCAUCCCAAUGUACAUCUUGGGGUGUUGCAUAAAUUGACUUGGAGUUUGAACUCCAAAUGUUAUAUCUAGCCUUGUUAUUGUUAAGUAAAUCAACUUCCCUAUUAGUCUCUGAUAUGUUGUGGCAUCAUCCAACUCUGGAUCAUAACUAUCACAUGCGUGUUGAUAAAAAACAAGACUAGUGAACUUGUUGUUAAAUUCAACUAGAGUGUUAUCUGGUUUUGCACCACUAAGGACAAUGUCUGCAAUGAUUUGUAGUGCAUAUUUCCUUUGGUUCAACAAAAUUCCAUCCUUGGACUGCAUCACCUCUAUUCCCAAAAAUACCUCAUCUUUCCCAAACCUUCCAUUUUGAAGUGUUGUUGUAAAGUGGACUUAGCUUCAACAAUCAUCUUAGAGCUUGCACCAGUAAUAAACAAAUCAUCAACAUACACCAGAAGCACUACCAUAUCACCCCAUGCUUCCUUGUGAACAAAGAAUGAUCAUGAGCACUUUGACAGUAACCUUCUUUCAGUAAAGCAUUAGUGAACUUAAUGUUCCAUUGUCUAGAUGCGUGUUUCAAACCAUAUUGGGACUUUUGGUGCUUGCAAACUGUGGUCUCCUUUUCUGUGAAACCUAAGAGUCAAAUCCAUAUAAACAUCUUCAUUCAAGUCACCCCGCAGAAAGGCAUUACUCACAUCCAUUUGACAAAUAUCCCAGCCAUAAGAAACAUCUAAACUGAUGAUUAUCUUGACAUCGCCAUUUUUGCAAUUGGUAAAAAAUUUUAAUUGUAGUCAAGUCCUUCCUUCUGAGUGUAACCCUUAGCCACUAGUCUGACCUUAAAUCUAUCCACCUCACCAUUAGGUUUAUAUUUAAUUUUGUACACCCAUUUUGAGCCAACGACCUUUGCAUAGAGUAGAUGUUUGACUUAGAUGAAACAAUGUAGUCUUUGAUCCAUAUAGGGGCUUGGAUGUUCUUCAUGUCUGUCUAGAUAUAGAAGGAAUAUCUAUAUGUUCCUCCUGAGGUGAGGCUGCUGGUUCAUGUGCCUCUCCAACGGGAUGCACAUGUAUGUCCUGAGGAAGUGUUGCAGACUCUAUCUCAUUAACAACUUUUUCUAAUGUGGUUGCAUCAGGUGGAGGAUUAGCAGAAGAUAACUCAGAAGUUUCUGGUGAAUUCAUAGGUUGUGCAACAUCAGUAGUGACUACAUCAAUGAUAUGAUCAGAUGAGAUACUUGCAUCCUUCAGAAAAGGUGAGAGUAGAGGAAGGGGAUCCUGUGACUGAUCUCCUUGAAAAGGAAAAAUGUUUUCUCUGAAUAUGACAUCCCUGCUUCUGAAUACAGUCUUAGUUUUCAAAUCAUAAAGUUUGUAGCCUUUUGAAAGCAAGAGUAACCAAUGAAAAUUGUCUUCUUAGCUCUUGCAUCAAAUUUAUCUCCUUUUGACAAUGUAGUGGCAAAACAUAAGCAACCAAACACCUUUAAGUGAUCAAUAUUAAGAGUCUUUUUGAUACAUCAUCUCAUAAAGAGAUUUCCCAUUCAAUAAAACACUAGGUAAUAUAUUUAUAAGAUAAACAACAGUCAACACAAGUACCCCAAAACCUGUUAGGUAUGUAUGAUUGUAUUUUUGAAUCUCUUCCUAUCUUUAGAAUGUGUUUGUGUUUCAUUUCUGCAACUCAUUCUGUUGAGGUGUAUACGGGCAGCUACUUUGAUGAAUGAUUACAUGAUUAAGAAAACAAAUCAGCCAUAGAAAUACUAAAAAGCUCAGUACCAUUAUCUGAUCUCACAACUUUUAUUCCGAUACCAAACUAAUCACAAACCAUAGAGAGAAAGUGCUUGAAGACUACCACUACUUCUUUCUUAGAUUAUAAUAACACCACCCAAGUGAAUAUACUGUAAUCAUCCACAAUAGUCAAGAAAUAGUGUUUUCUAUCAUAUGUAGGACGCUUAUGAGGACCCAUACACCCAGAUGAAUCAAGUCAAACAAACUAGCAGAUUUAGAAGUACUAACUGGAAGUCAUAACCUACAUUGCUUAGCUAAUGGACAAAUCAUGCACUCUUGAUGGAUAAUUUCAUUCAUCUUAUGUCUCAAUGUCUUCAUGAUUCCUACACAAGGAUGUCCUAGCCUUAGAUGUCACAAUCUCUGAUCAUCCUCAGCCUUGAUAACUGCUCCAAAGGUAGGUGUUAUGUGAUUCUUUAGGAUAUAGAGUACAUCCACCUCUCUACUAAUCCCUAUCACCUUCCCAUUGGAGAGCUCAUGCAAUAUACACUGGUCAGGAUAAAAUGACACCACACAUUUAAAAUGCGCGGUGAAUUUGAAGACUGAAAGCAAAUUAAAUUUAAAAUCUGGAACAUGCAGUACAUCUUUCAACCAAUGGUUUCCUAAGAUCAUUGUGUCUCCAAUUCUAUUGUCUGGGAAAACUUGAACCUUAUUGUUCUUUGAAUUAUCUACUGAUUUUGACUAUUCAAAAUUGCUUCACAAUAUGUUACAUGAUGUGAGCUCCUGAAUCAAUAUCCAAUCAACAGCUGAAAAAUCAAUUCUUACAACAUUCAUACCUGCUAGUGCAUUGGCCUUGGAACUGUUUAUUGCACAAUACAACUUCUUCAAUGCUUCAUUGUAUUGAUUUCUGGUUGUGAUUUCCUCUUGCUUCUGAAAGCUGCUUUGAGAACCUUGUGAACGGAGAGUGGGCAGAAGAGAAGGAGGUCCUCAUACAGAGUCACACACUUACUUGAGCAGGGAAAGCCUAUUAUCAUGUAGCAAGUGUUCUUAGUAUGUCCUUUAAAACCACAAUGUUCGCUGAUAAUAAUCCCAGAUCACCUGCUAUAAGGAUUGCCCUUGAUGAUGAACUUGUGAUUGGUUGUGUGAAGCCCUUACUGAUCUUUGAUUAUGAUGGAGAUUGUUGGAAACAUUAGAAUUUCUCCCUGCGAGCAUUGUUAAAGGUUCACUUCCUGAAUUUGUAUUGCCUAAUUUCCUUUGACUCUCUUCUUGUAUAGCCAUAGCAUAUGCCUGAUUAGCGCUACGAACAUUUGAAUUAAGUAAAUAGAGCAAAACUUUCAUUCAAUCCAAUCAGAAAUUGAAGUAACUGUUGGAAAA